GACAAAGAUCAUCUGGCGGAGCAUGUUGUGAGCUGAAACUUACUUGAUUAUAUUAUUCCAAUGUAUUCUACUUACGGCUUCCAUGAAGAUCAUUUUGAAAUAAUGGCCAAGGACUAAGAUUAAGAAGAAAAGAAAGAAUGAAAACUCUGGAGCCCAAAAGCCCCAAUGAAAGAAUUUAUAGCUUACCAGCAAAAAGCUUCUUCAAGUGAGACUGAAUAACUAAUGGAUUAGUGGACUGCCCCAAGAUUUCCAGAAGAUCAUCAUCCCCAAUGAAAUAGAAUCGAGGAAAUGCAGAACGUUUUUCCUGUUUAAAAAUAUAUAAUUCACUCUA